rnacentral:tRNA from 1 species
UUUUUGAUAGCUAAAAUUUUAUAGCGUGGUCUUGAAGCGGCCAAGGUGAAAGGAAUUUCUCAGAAAA